AUCUACGGCCAUACCACCCUGAACGCGCCCUAUCUCAUCCGAUCUUGGAAGCUAAGCAGGGUUGGGCUUGGUUAGUACUUGGAUGGGAGACCACCUGGAAAUACUGGGUGCUGUAGGCU
rnacentral:rRNA from 1 species